rnacentral:tRNA from 1 species
GGGCUCGUAGCUCAGCCUGGGAGAGCACUAGACUGAAGAUCUAGUUGUCCGGAGUUCAAAUCUCCGCGAGCUCA